rnacentral:rRNA from 1 species
UACGGAAGGCAGCAGUGGGGAAUAUUGCACAAUGGGCGCAAGCCUGAUGCAGCCAUGCCGCGUGUAUGAAGAAGGCCUUCGGGUUGUAAAGUACUUUCAGUCGUGAGGAAGGUGUUAAGGUUAAUAACCUUAGCAAUUGACGUUAGCGACAGAAGAAGCGCCGGCUAACUCCGUGCCAGCAGCCGCGGUAGUACGGAGGGUGCGAGCGUUAAUCGGAAUUACUGGGCGUAAAGGGCACGCAGGCGGUUAAUUAAGUUGGAUGUGAAAUCCCCGGGCUUAACCUGGGAAUGGCAUUCAAGACUGGUUAGCUAGAGUCUUGUAGAGGGGGUAGAAUUCCAUGUGUAGCGGUGAAAUGCGUAGAGAUGUGGAGGAAUACCGGUGGCGAAGGCGGCCCCUGGGACAAAGGCUGACGCUCAUGUGCGAAAGCGUGGGGAGCAAACG